CCUACGGGAGGCAGCAGUGGGGAAUAUUGCGCAAUGGGGGAAACCCUGACGCAGCAACGCCGCGUGAAGGAAGAAGGUUUUCGGAUCGUAAACUUUUGUCAUCUGGGAAGAAGAAAGUGACGGUACCAGAUGAGGAAGCCACGGCUAACUACGUGCCAGCAGCCGCGGUAAUACGUAGGUGGCGAGCGUUGUCCGGAAUUACUGGGUGUAAAGGGCGUGUAGGCGGGUAGACAAGUCAGAUGUGAAAUACCGGAGCUCAACUCCGGGGCUGCAUUUGAAACUGUAUAUCUUGAGUGCAGGAGAGGGAAGCGGAAUUCCUAGUGUAGCGGUGAAAUGCGUAGAUAUUAGGAGGAACACCAGUGGCGAAGGCGGCUUCCUGGACUGUAACUGACGCUGAGGCGCGAAAGCGUGGGUAGCGAACAGGAUUAGAUACCCUGGUAGUC
rnacentral:rRNA from 1 species